rnacentral:rRNA from 1 species
CCUACGGGUGGCAGCAGUGGGGAAUAUUGCACAAUGGGGGAAACCCUGAUGCAGCGACGCCGCGUGAGUGAAGAAGUAUCUCGGUACGUAAAGCUCUAUCAGCAGGGAAGAAAAUGACGGUACCUGACUAAGAAGCCCCGGCUAACUCCGUGCAAGCAGCCGCGGUAAUACGUAGGGGGCAAGCGUUAUCCGGAUUUACUGGGUGUAAAGGGAGCGUAGACGGCAGCACAAGUCUGGAGUGAAAUCCCGGGGCUUAACCCCGGCACUGCUUUGGAAACUGUGCGGCUGGAGUGCAGGAGGGGUAAGCGGAAUGCCUGGUGUAGCGGUGAAAUGCGGAGAGAUUAGGAGGAACACCGGUGGCGAAGGCGGCUUACUGGACUGUAACUGACGUUGAGGCUCGAAAGCGUGGGGAGCAAACAGGAUUAGAUACCCUUGUAGUC